AAGCAAAGCAGGGUGAAAGAAAUUUUGAAGCAAUUUGCAUUUAAAUUUAAAUACACAACAAAGUAAUAAAGAACUUGAAGAUAGGGGCUGGCGAUAUGGCAAAGAUAUUAUAUGAUUUUUUUCUGGCAUGAUCACGAUCCACCAUCUCAGCACAACUCUUUUUCAUGUUUAGUAAUUAUUUUCCCAAUUACUGAAUAGUACAACCACACUAAUAUCAUUAUUUAAAAAAAACUAUAGCCCUACAAGGUAACAAAAUACCACACCAAAUUGUGUCCUCAUAUUCAGUGCUCACUUUAAAGCCUCCGGCGAGAACAUAAACAUAUGAAAAUCAGUUUUAUUUUAUUCUCUCAUCUUCACCUCUCACCUGAGACACAGGUUUGCAGCCUGCAGUUCAGCGCGGCUGCUGGCACGCAUGAAUCACUCUCUUUUUCUCUCUGUCUUUUUUUAAAGGAGCCAGGAAGCCGACGGCAAAGCCUAACUUUACUUUCAAUUGUAUCAAACAAGGAGAAAUGUUCUCUUUUAAAAUGGUCAUAAAUCGAUACUAGAGUAGCCUACUUCCUUGUUUACUGCUGCACCUGCAAUGAAGGAAAUACAGAGGAGUAGAAAAGAGCAUCUGGCUCCACAACAUCAUCUGUUGAGUGUUUGAUUGUUAUUUAUUUAUGCUUUAGAGUGUAAUCGCUGUCAAUUCUAAAAUAUGCUUUAUUUCUCUCUCCCCUCGCCCAAGCUCGCAGUGCAAAUCUCUGCUGGCUGCAGAGAUCCUACUGUACUAUAGUAAUUUUUCCAUCUAAUUGUUAAGCGAAUUUUAACCAAACUUAUAAAAUGUCGCAAAAAAGAAAAUGCAAAUUAGAAGCGUUUCCAUCAACUGGUUUAGAGCGAAUAAACUAGACUACGCAAAGGGUAGUUUCGUCACAAGUUGACGUUACGCAUGGUUGUUGAUUGCAAACUGGCUUGCUAAAUCAAAGAGUUUAGAAGCUAAGUUCUUUGGCUAAAUGGAGAGAGGUAGCAUUGUACAAGUUGGCCACCUGUGCAGAAUACAGGGUUGUGGCAGAGACAUUUGGUGUCAGAGAGACAACCGUUCACCGCUGUGUAUACUCGGUGUGCAGGGCCAUACGAUUCAAGCUGUUGAACCAAUUUGUCAAUUUACCCGAUGUGGCUGAGGCACAGGCUAUAGCGCACCGCAACUCCACUACGCUCCUUGUUCCACAAGUGUACGGCGCACUGGAUGGGACUCAUUUCCUGAUCCUUCCCCCAUCCGAUGGAUACUGGGACUAUAUUCAUGUGAGUUUCAUGUUCGCUACGUCACAACUUAUUCGGCAAAGCUGUUUCCAUUUCCCAUUUUGCGCAUUAACUUUGCUAAUUUGAGGAAGUUUUUUUUUAAUUUUGCCGUUUCCAUCAACAUUUUCUAAUGCGAUACUUCAAAAUGCACAUAGAAAUACGUUGAUGGAAACCCCACUAAUGACGAAUUCAAGUAGCUACAAUUAACACUAGUUCUGAUGGUGUACAGCCGUUAAUAUAACACAUCCAUGUGUACAGUUGGACUGGAGUAGUCGACAACGUUAGCCGUUUACUAAAUAUGACAUGUAAACUGCCCCGCCCAUUUCCAACAUGUAAGGUAAUUGUUAUGCAUUGCUCCCUAGUUGUGCCAUUGGUGCUAUCUGAAAUUGCCUUGACCAGGGAUCAACCCGUGUUGACUGGCUUGGUUUGAAUUGCCAAAAUGAGGGUUGAACACAUGUCAGAUAAACCUGGUCCAACCCUGAUCAUUGGUGUGAAAGAGGUACAAGGUAAUCACUUUCUAAACAUUAUUCUAACAUAUAAUUGUAACGAUAUAGGAAUGUUCAGAAUAGGUAUUUAGUAAAAGUCAGGGCAACAGGGAAACAAUGACUAAAUAAUUAAAACAUUUUACCCCAACUUUGAAUGGUGUGGGCUAUGGCGGUUUGUUUGUCGGUUAAUAUUUUCAUAGGGGUUUAACAUUAGACGGAAGGUAAGCCAGGGGCUGCUUUGACUGUACCUUUCUGUUGUAACUCUGUCCUUUUGCCCUGUGUAUAGUUUCCAAUAAAACUGGAAUCAAGACACAGGUCUUGGGUUGGUUUGGUAAAAUAAUAGUUUAUACCAUAAUGGUGAGUAGAGUAUCUUUGAUGUUAAUCUGUGAUUACAAAAUACAAAGUUGGAAAGUA